rnacentral:tRNA from 2 species
GCGGAUGUAGCCAAGUGGAUCAAGCAGUGGAUUAUGAAUCCACCAUGCGCAGGUUUAAUUCUCGUCAUUCGUC